AAAGUUCGAUACAGGAAAGGAGUAGCGACCCACCUUGGCCCCGAGUCAUACGGAGGCGUUCGUGAGGACGACUUCGAAGCGUUGACAGGGGAAACCGCAGGCCAGCCAUUGAGCCGCGAAAUCGGAAGUCUGGAGCGCCGAUGCUGUUAUCCUAAGCGGAAGGCAACCUGUUGGGCGGCAUAUAUCGGGAGCCGCUCAACGGCUCCACGCGGUCGGAGACCC
rnacentral:ncRNA from 1 species